rnacentral:rRNA from 1 species
AGCAGCCGCGGUAAUUCCAGCUCCAAUAGCGUAUAUUAAAGUUGCUGCAGUUAAAAAGCUCGUAGUUGAAUUUCGGGAUCGAUAUAUCGGUCGUGCCUCGGUACGUACUGGUAUUUUCGGUUUCUCCCUUCUGACGAACCUUGAUGUCAUUAAUUUGGUGUCUUGGGGAAUCAGGACUGUUACUUUGAAAAAAUUAGAGUGUUUAAAGCAGGCUCACGCUUGAAUACAUUAGCAUGGAAUAAUGAAAUAGGACGUUUGAUUCUAUUUUGUUGGUUUCUAGGAUCGACGUAAUGAUUAAUAGGGAUAGUUGGGGGCAUUAGUAUUCAAUUGUCAGAGGUGAAAUUCUUGGAUUUAUUGAAGACUAAUUACUGCGAAAGCAUUUGCCAAGGAUGUUUUCAUUAAUCAAGAACGAAAGUUAGGGGAUCGAAGACGAUCAGAUACCGUCGUAGUCUUAACCAUAAACUAUGCCGACUAGGGAUCGGAUGAUGUUAAUUUUUAAUGACUCAUUCGGCGCCUUAAC